UGGGGAAUAUUGCACAAUGGGCGCAAGCCUGAUGCAGCCAUGCCGCGUGUGUGAAGAAGGCCUUCGGGUUGUAAAGCACUUUCAGCGGGGAGGAAGGCGAUAAGGUUAAUAACCUUGUCGAUUGACGUUACCCGCAGAAGAAGCACUGGCUAACUCCGUGCCAGCAGCUGCGGUAAUACGGAGGGUGCAAGCGUUAAUCGGAAUUACUGGGCGGAAAGCGCACGCAGGCGGUCUGUCAAGUCGGAUGUGAAAUCCCCGGGCUUAACCUGGGAACUGCAUUCGAAACUGGCAGGCUAGAGUCUGGUAGAGGGGGGUAGAGUUCCAGGUGUAGCGGUGCAAUGGGUAGUGAUCUGGAGGAAUACCGGUAGCGAAGGCGGCCCCCUGGACAAAGACUGACGCUCAAGUGCGAAAGCGUGGGGAGCAAACAGG
rnacentral:rRNA from 1 species